UACGUAGGGGGCUAGCGUUGUCCGGAAUCAUUGGGCGUAAAGAGCGCGUAGGCGGCGCGGUAAGUCACUUGUGAAAUCUCUGAGCUUAACUCAGAACGGCCAAGUGAUACUGCAGUGCUAGAGUGCAGAAGGGGCAAUCGGAAUUCUUGGUGUAGCGGUGAAAUGCGUAGAUAUCAAGAGGAACACCUGAGGUGAAGACGGGUUGCUAGGCUGACACUGACGCUGAGGCGCGAAAGCCAGGGGAGCAAACGGG
rnacentral:rRNA from 1 species